UACAGAGGUCCCAAGCGUUGUUCGGAUUCACUGGGCGUAAAGGGUGCGUAGGUGGUCGGGUAAGUCUGAUGUGAAAUCUCGGAGCUCAACUCCGAAACGGCAUUGGAUACUAUUCGGCUUGAGGGUUGGAGGGGGGACUGGAAUUCUCGGUGUAGCAGUGAAAUGCGUAGAUAUCGAGAGGAACACCAGUGGCGAAGGCGGGUUGCUGGGCUGACACUGACGCUGAGGCGCGAAAGCUAGGGGAGCGAACGGG
rnacentral:rRNA from 1 species